rnacentral:rRNA from 1 species
GUCUGGGAACCGRAACAACACAUGUUGAUCCGGUCAAAGAUUUAUCRGUGUGAGAUGGGCCUGCGUCUGAUUAACUAGUUGGUGAGGUAACGGCUCACCAAGGUGACGAUCAGUAGCCGACCUGAGAGGGUGAUCGGCCACAUUGGAACUGAGACACGGUCCAAACUUCUACGGAAGGCAGCAGUAGGGAAUCUUGCACAAUGGGCGAAAGCCUGAUGCAGCAACGCCGCGUGAAGGAUGAAGGCCUUCGGGUUGUAAACUUCUGUUCCCGGGGACGAAGAAAGUGACGGUACCCGGGCAGCAAGCCCCGGCUAACUACGUGCCAGCAGCCGCGGUAAUACGUAGGGGGCAAGCGUUAUCCGGAAUUAUUGGGCGUAAAGAGUGCGUAGGUGGUUAUGUAAGCGUGAGGUUUAAGGCAGUGGCUUAACCACUGUUCGCCUUGCGAACUGCAUAACUUGAGUGCAGGAGGGGAAAGCGGAAUUCCUAGUGUAGCGGUGAAAUGCGUAGAUAUUAGGAGGAACACCAGCGGCGAAGGCGGCUUUCUGGACUGCAACUGACACUGAGGCACGAAAGCGUGGGGAGCAAACAGGACUAGAUACCCUGGUAGUCCACGCCGUAAACGAUGAGCACUAGUUGUUGGGUCCGAACGGAUUCAGUGACGCAGUUAACGCAAUAAGUGCUCCGCCUGGGGAGUACGCUCGCAAGAGUAAAACUCAAAGGAAUUGACGGGGACCCGCACAAGCAGCGGAGCAUGUGGUUUAAUUCGAAGCAACGCGAAAAACCUUACCAGGACUUGACAUCCUGCUGACAGGUCCUUAACCGGGCUCUUCUUCGGACAGCAGAGACAGGUGGUGCAUGGUUGUCGUCAGCUCGUGUCGUGAGAUGUUGGGUUAAGUCCCGCAACGAGCGCAACCCUUGUUGUCAGUUACUAACAUUAAGUUGAGGACUCUGGCGAGACUGCCGAGGUUAACUCGGAGGAAGGUGGGGAUGACGUCAAAUCAUCAUGCCCCUUAUGUUCUGGGCUACACACGUGCUACAAUGGCCGGUACAGAGAGACGCAAAACCGCGAGGCGGAGCAA